UACGAAGGGGGCUAGCGUUGUUCGGAAUUACUGGGCGUAAAGCGCGUGUAGGCGGGCCGUUAAGUCGGGGGUGAAAGCCCAGAGCUCAACUCUGGAACUGCCUUCGAUACUGGAGGCCUGGAGCAUGAUAGAGGCGAGUGGAAUUUCGAGUGUAGAGGUGAAAUUGGUAGAUAUUCGCAGGAACACCAGUGGCGAAGGCGACUCGCUGGAUCAUUGCCGACGCUGAGACGCGAAAGCGUGGGGAGCAAACAGG
rnacentral:rRNA from 1 species